AACCCGCUCCCAGAGAAACAUCUUGGCUCACAUUGUUCAGUGGUUUACACACAUCAAUCCUGCCUCAGUGAGCCAAGAAUUAACUCGGCACUAUUGGUAAAGCAUUUCACUUUUAACUGCAAGAUGUGGGGGUCCCGCCACCAAGUGCAUCAAUGCGCCAAAGCAUUCCCGUAAUCUACAGGAAGCAACACCAGCAUAACCUAUUUAAAAGUACAAGGAAUCGCACAGGACAAGUUCACCUUACUCCGACUGCUUUCGAUUAAUCGAGAUCUUCGUUUUCUAUGACUUGCACUAACCACGGGGCAAACACGAUUACAUCUAAAAUAAAGCCGACUGCUCCGAUCGAGGCUAAAAGGCCAGGAGGUACUGUGGGUGGAAUACUUCAACGUCCUUUCCUUACAAUAGUGCUAUUGCAGACUGAGAUGACCAAGUGCUGAAUGUGCCAGACUGGACAUGCAUCAAGUGGUGUGAGAAUAUACAAAUGAGAAAAAGCCACAUUGCUCACCCUCACCAACUUGCCUUGAGAGUAUCAAUAGCACACACCAUAGUACAGCCCGUGUACAGACAAAGUUCCAUCUUUAUGCUGAGGUUAUUCUCCAUUACGUUGUGUGAUGCUAUCACAACACUGAACGAGAUGAGUACAAAACAGUUCUAGCAGCUGUAAACUGGCACACUCAUCCAUAAUGUACUGUGCUCCAUCAGCAGUAGCCCUAGACAUACCUGUAAACGAAAUGUUAUUAACCUCAUGAAGCCAAAAUACAAGUCUACAUGCAUACCCAACAGCUGGAGCAAUGUGUUAUGGAGGAUCUAAUGGGUAAAAUUAGUGUUCUUCAGGUCUAUUGCAUCCAGUUGUGCAGAAUGUUUAAGCAAUUUACAAGAAUAGAAUAUUUCACAAACAGUCCCACCCUCAAUGAUAGUGAAAAUCCGCACAUCAGUGCAAAAGACAAGGCCAAAUAAUCUCAGCCAGAAGUGCCAAAUAGAUCAUCGAUCUCGAUCUCUUUCUGAAGUCACCAGCAUCACAAAUUCCAGAACUCAACUGAUUUGUGUUAUGCCAUGAAAUAUUAAGAAAUAGCUGAAGAUGCUGGUGACAGCAAACCUGCUCCAAUAGAACCUCAACAUUGGCAUUUACCUGAUAAUGCAGAAAUUUGUAAAAGUAUUUUCUACUGGCAACAAGUAGGUCAAAUUCAGUUGGUUUGAUCAGUCUACUCUCAAUCACCAACAAAGCAAUGGAAGAUAUCGAUGAUCGUUCUGUCAAUUAACAUUUACACAGCAAUAACCGGCCCACCAUCAACGCUUAGAUUGGUUUUUCUUGGGGGUUUUGGCUCCAGACCACAUGACAAUAUUCAUCCACACAUAAACAAAAUAGUUACACCCACCUCACUCCUGGAAUGUAACAGUCCUUGACAUUAA